GACAGAGGGGGCAAGCGUUGCUCGGAAUUACUGGGCGUAAAGGGCGCGUAGGCGGGAUGGCAAGUCGGUCGUGAAAUCCCUCGGCUCAACUGAGGAGCGUCGAUCGAAACUGCCGUUCUUGAGGGUCGCAGAGGAGACUGGAAUUCCCGGUGUAGCGGUGAAAUGUGUAGAGAUCGGGAGGAACACCGGUGGCGAAGGCGGGUCUCUGGGCAACUCCUGACGCUGAGGCGCGAAAGCGUGGGGAGCAAACGGG
rnacentral:rRNA from 1 species